ensembl:miRNA MIR9810 microRNA mir-9810
GAGGAGGGCGAGAGGCGUUGAGGCAGGGGAGAGUGACGAGGUGCCCUUCAUUGUCAGCCAGGGACGAGCACGCGGCCACUCUCCCCUCACUCCGA